GAAAGCGGAAUUCCUUGGUGUAGCGGUGGAAUGCGGUAGAUAUCAGGAAGAACACCGACGGCGAAGGCAGCUUUCUGGCUGGCAACUGACCUGAUGAACGAAAGCUAGGGUAGCGAACAGGAUUAGAUACCUGGUAGUCCUAGCUGUAAACGUUGUGCACUGGAUGUGGGCGGAUUUGGUCCCGUCUGUGUCUGAGCGAAGGCGUUAAGUGCACCGCCUGGGGACUACGGCCGCAAGGCUAAAACUCAAAGGAAUUGACGGGGGCCCGCACAAGCGGUGGAGCAUGUGGCUCAAUUCGAGGCAACGCGAAGAACCUUACCUGGGUUUGACAUAUACCUGACCGCCGGUGAGAGCCGGUUUCUCUUUGAGCAGGUAUACAGGUGCUGCAUGGCUGUCGACAGCUCGUGCUGUGAAGUGUUCGGUUAAGUCCGGCAACGAGCGCAACCCACGCUGUUAGUUACCAUCAGGUAAUGCUGGGGACUCUAACAGGACUGCCCGUGCUAAGCGGGAGGAAGGCGUGGACGACGUCAAGUCCGCAUGGCCCUUACGCCCAGGGCUGCACACGUGCUACAAUGGCCGGUACAGAGGGUCGCCACUCUGCGAAGAGGAGCUAAUCCCGAAAACCGGCCCCAGUUCGGAUUGGAGUCUGCAACCCGACUCCAUGAAGUAGGAAUCGCUAGUAAAGGCGUAUCAGCAACGGCGCCUUGAAUCUGUUCCCGGGCCUUGUACACACCGCCCGUCACAUCAUGGAAGCCGGCUGCACCCGAAGUCGCUAUCCGUUUUACGGAGGCGCCGAAGGUGUGGCUGGUAACUGGGAUGAAGUCGUAACAAGGUAACCAAGGGCGAA
rnacentral:rRNA from 1 species